ACAAAGAUGAGCAUGAUUCAGUCUCAGCCACAGAAGCAGUCCGUGGCUGACGUACGUGCCACAUAAUCAUAUGUACUCUCUGUUAGUUGCAGAUAUUUUUGUGAGGAAUGCAUGCCAGGAAUCUUGUCUGCCUUUGGGAUCUAUAUCCUGUAAAAACAUUAACUACAUGUUUUGCGUAAAAUCCCCACAACUGUGUGAGAAUGGUGACAGUGAUAGGAUGACUUCCAUGUGAGAAGAUGCAAGAGGAUGAUGACC